rnacentral:rRNA from 1 species
GUGGGUAGUUUGACUGGGGCGGUCUCCUCCUAAAGAGUAACGGAGGAGCACGAAGGUUGGCUAAUCCUGGUCGGACAUCAGGAGGUUAGUGCAAUGGCAUAAGCCAGCUUGACUGCGAGCGUGACGGCGCGAGCAGGUGCGAAAGCAGGUCAUAGUGAUCCGGUGGUUCUGAAUGGAAGGGCCAUCGCUCAACGGAUAAAAGGUACUCCGGGGAUAACAGGCUGAUACCGCCCAAGAGUUCAUAUCGACGGCGGUGUUUGGCACCUCGAUGUCGGCUCAUCACAUCCUGGGGCUGAAGUAGGUCCCAAGGGUAUGGCUGUUCGCCAUUUAAAGUGGUACGCGAGCUGGGUUUAGAACGUCGUGAGACAGUUCGGUCCCUAUCUGCCGUGGGCGCUGGAGAACUGAGGGGGGCUGCUCCUAGUACGAGAGGACCGGAGUGGACGCAUCACUGGUGUUCGGGUUGUCAUGCCAAUGGCACUGCCCGGUAGCUAAAUGCGGAAGAGAUAAGUGCUGAAAGCAUCUAAGCACGAAACUUGCCCCGAGAUGAGUUCUCCCUGAGACUUUAGGUCUCCUGAAGGAACGUUGAAGACGACGACGUUGAUAGGCCGGGUGUGUAAGCGCAGCGAUGCGUUGAGCUAACCGGUACUAAUGAACCGU